UACGGAGGGUGCAAGCGUUAUCCGGAUUCACUGGGUUUAAAGGGUGCGUAGGUGGGAAAGUAAGUCAGUGGUGAAAUCUCCGUGCUUAACACGGAAACUGCCAUUGAUACUAUUUUUCUUGAAUUUUCUGGAGGUCAGCGGAAUAUGUCAUGUAGCGGUGAAAUGCUUAGAUAUGACAUAGAACACCAAUUUGCGAAAGGCAGCUGACUACAGGGAUAUUGACACUGAGGCACGAAAAGCGUGGGGGAUCAAAACAGG
rnacentral:rRNA from 1 species